GAUGAACGCUGGCGGCGUGCCUAAUACAUGCAAGUCGAGCGAACGGACGAGAAGCUUGCUUUUCUGAUGUUAGCGGCGGACGGGUGAGUAACACGUGGAUAACCUACCUAUAAGACUGGGAUAACUUCGGGAAACCGGAGCUAAUACCGGAUAAUAUUUUGAACCGCAUGGUUCAAAAGUGAAAGACGGUCUUGCUGUCACUUAUAGAUGGAUCCGCGCUGCAUUAGCUAGUUGGUAAGGUAACGGCUUACCAAGGCAACGAUGCAUAGCCGACCUGAGAGGGUGAUCGGCCACAAUGGAACUGAGACACGGUCCAGACUCCUACGGGAGGCAGCAGUAGGGAAUCUUCCGCAAUGGGCGAAAGCCUGACGGAGCAACGCCGCGUGAGUGAUGAAGGUCUUCGGAUCGUAAAACUCUGUUAUUAGGGAAGAACAUAUGUGUAAGUAACUGUGCACAUCUUGACGGUACCUAAUCAGAAAGCCACGGCUAACUACGUG
rnacentral:rRNA from 1 species